rnacentral:lncRNA from 10 species
GCCACACCCCGGGGUGCCUGGCUGACGCGUCCCUCAGCUCAAACGAGAAAGGGCUGAGUCACCAGCACGCAGGAGAAGAGGGCGAAGCGGCCACCCGCGUUCUGUGUUCGGAGUCAGGACGAGAAGCAUUGGCGGACCAGGAGGAAGCUUCGUUGAAUUGAGCGCCCCUGGCUCGUAUAGCAGGCCGAGGAGGGAGCUCAUGGGCAGCGUUGGCUAAGAGUUCGAGAUCAUCUAGAAAUGUCAGAAACGUAGGUUGGGUCGUGAGGUCUCUGAAGACAGUGGGUGAAACUCCAGUGUAAGGCGCUGCGUCCGCUUGGUAGAGAGCCGGCCGAAGUCCGAGUCUUUGUUGCGAGGCGUAGGGCCACCCUGCGCGCCCAGCAGAAGCGCUAGAGGGCACGGUUGCCCGGGGUGAACCGCAUGUCCAAAUGUAACUGUGUGCUCCGAGUUAAAAUUGUUUUUCUGCAGACUUUGCUUGAGCCAACGAUUCCGGAAUUGGGGAAAGGGUUACCUUAGGUAGAAAUCGGAAAUUUAUAGGAGACACAGAGGUAAGGACCAACUGUUAGGACUGAGUGAAAAAUGGUUCCCUCCAACUGUAAAAGUGGAAAAAAAAAUACCUAUCUUAUAGGUGGGGCAGUGAGGAGUAAAUGAGUUUAAUAUAUUUCAAGCUUUUAAAACAACCUCGCCCAUCAUAAGCACUGUUUAAACAUUAGCUCUUAUCUUUUAAAAAUAUUAGUGGAUGUUUAAAAUGAAUGAAUACAAUUUGUCCAAGAAAUAUGGCGUAAGAGCCCAGAAGAAAUAAAGUUUAAUCUUACAAAGGGCUUCUGUAGAAAGAAUACAUGCAUGGAAUUGAUGGAAUUUGGUAUAAAUCUUGAAAAAACUUAAUAGGUGUAUUCAAUCGUUCAGUAAAUGUUUCCUGAGCAUUUAUCAUGUGUCAGCUACUGUUGGAGCUCUGAGAAUGGUUCUCAUGCAGUUUACAUUCUAGUAAGAGAGCAAGGCCCAAUAACCAAGCACUCGUGGGAGAAGAAG